rnacentral:rRNA from 1 species
GACCAUCCUCCAAGGCUAAAUACUCCUGACUGACCGAUAGUGAACCAGUACCGUGAGGGAAAGGCGAAAAGAACCCCGGCGAGGGGAGUGAAAAAGAACCUGAAACCGUGUACGUACAAGCAGUGGGAGCACAGAGCAAUCUGUGUGACUGCGUACCUUUUGUAUAAUGGGUCAGCGACUUAUAUUCUGUAGCAAGGUUAACCGAAUAGGGGAGCCGAAGGGAAACCGAGUCUUAACUGGGCGUUAAGUUGCAGGGUAUAGACCCGAAACCCGGUGAUCUAGCCAUGGGCAGGUUGAAGGUUGGGUAACACUAACUGGAGGACCGAACCGACUAAUGUUGAAAAAUUAGCGGAUGACUUGUGGCUGGGGGUGAAAGGCCAAUCAAACCGGGAGAUAGCUGGUUCUCCCCGAAAGCUAUUUAGGUAGCGCCUCGUGAAUUCAUCUCCGGGGGUAGAGCACUGUUUCGGCAAGGGGGUCAUCCCGACUUACCAACCCGAUGCAAACUGCGAAUACCGGAGAAUGUUAUCACGGGAGACACACGGCGGGUGCUAACGUCCGUCGUGAAGAGGGAAACAACCCAGACCGCCAGCUAAGGUCCCAAAGUCAUGGUUAAGUGGGAAACGAUGUGGGAAGGCCCAGACAGCCAGGAUGUUGGCUUAGAAGCAGCCAUCAUUUAAAGAAAGCGUAAUAGCUCACUGGUCGAGUCGGCCUGCGCGGAAGAUGUAACGGGGCUAAACCAUGCACCGAAGCUGCGGCAGCGACGCUUAUGCGUUGUUGGGUA